rnacentral:rRNA from 1 species
CCUACGGCGGCUGCAGUGGGGAAUAUUGCACAAUGGGGGAAACCCUGAUGCAGCGACGCCGCGUGAGUGACGAAGUAUUUCGGUAUGUCAAGCUCUAUCAGCAGGGACGAAAAUGACGGUACCUGAUUAAGAAGCCCCGGCUACCUACGUGCCAGCAGCCGCGGUAAUACAUAGGGGGGAAGCGUUAUCCGGAUUUCCUGGGUGGAAAGGGAGCGUGAACGGCAGCGCAAGUCUGGAGGGAAAUGCCGGGGCUUAACCCCUGAACUGCAUUGGAAACUGUGCAGCCAGAGUGCAGGAGAGGUAAGUGGAAUGCCUAGUGUAGCGGUGAAAUGCGUAGAUAUUAGGAGGAACACCAGUGGCGAAGGCGGCUUACUGGACUGUAACUGACGUUGAGGCUCGAAAGCGUGGGGAGCAAACAGGAUUAGAUACCCUGGUAGUC